rnacentral:rRNA from 1 species
UACGUAGGGUGCGAGCGUUUGUCCGGAAUUAUUGGGCGUAAAGAGCUCGUAGGCGGCUUGUCGCGUCUGUUGUGAAAGCCCGGGGCUUAACCCCGGGUCUGCAGUGGAUACGGGCAGGCUAGAGGCAGGUAGGGGAGAACGGAAUUCCCGGUGUAGCGGUGAAAUGCGCAGAUAUCGGGAGGAACACCGGUGGCGAAGGCGGUUCUCUGGGCCUGUACUGACGCUGAGGAGCGAAAGCGUGGGGAGCGAACAGG